rnacentral:sRNA from 1 species
AAAGCUUGUAGUCGAACUUGAAGGUGUUCUUUGGAUGGCAAACUGUGCACACUGCACCAAAGAGGAACACAUGGAAAAGAUAGUGCGAGGCAUGUGAGAAAACGAAGGAAUUGAUGAGAAUGAGCAAGUGCUGGCGUGGAAGUGAAGCGAACACGAAAAGUAUAACUUAUAUUGACAUAUUCCAAUCACAGCACAGUCCUUUUGUCUGCACUGGUGAAGCCUGAAGAUGAAGAAAUAAAGAAUAGCCACGAGA